UUUGGARGGGSCAGUCUGGUGCCAGCAGCCGCGGUAAUUCCAGCUCCAAUAGCGUAUAUUAAAGUUGUUGCAGUUAAAAAGCUCGUAGUUGAAUUUCGGGAUUUGUCAGUUGGUCGGGCUUMACUGUCCGUAUUGACUUGAUGGAUUCUUACCUUCUGAAUAACCAGCAUGCUAUUAAGUUAGUGCGUUGGGGAAGCAGAUCUAUUACCUUGAAAAAAUUAGAGUGCUUAAAGCGAGCUAGUGCUUGAAUAGAUUAGCAUGGAAUAAUAAAAUAGGACGGCAUGGUUCUAUUUUGUUGGUUUCUAGGAUCACCGUAAUGAUUAAUAGGGAUAGUUGGGGGCAUUAGUAUUCAAUUGUCAGAGGUGAAAUUCUUGGAUUUAUUGAAGACUAACUUCUGCGAAAGCAUUUGCCAAGGAUGUUUUCAUUAAUCAAGAACGAAAGUUAGGGGAUCGAAGACGAUCAGAUACCGUCGUAGUCUUAACCAUAAACUAUGCCGACUAGGAAUCGGACGAGUAAUG
rnacentral:rRNA from 1 species